CUUUAUAGGUCUCUGGUAUAGCUAUAUUUACCAGACAGUUUUUAGGGUUCCGUACGGUAAAACAGGACCCUAUUACGAAGGCUGUCCGCUGUCCGUCCGUCCGUCUGUCACCAGGCCUGUAUCUCAUGAACCAUGAAAGUUAGAAAGUUGAAAUUUUCACAGAUUAUGUAUUUCUGUUGCCGCUAUAACAACAAAUACUAAAAAUUCUUGAAUAUAUAAUAUAAGCAGUGUUGCCAACAGUUUUAUAGAUGAUGGUACGGAACCCUUUGUGCGCGAGUCCGACUCGCACUUGACCGGCUUUUUAUUUUUCUAUCGAUGAGUUAUUGGUAUAUUAUUUUGCCACUUGAUGCAACGGGAAAUAUAUGUAAAAAUAUAUGUCAUACGAGUGGUAAGCCUGUACGCAAACGUUAUUAUCGUUAUCUUGUUAUCGGUAAUCGCGUUAACAUAAUAUCAAAGUGGUAAAUUAUUAUACCACUACACACUUAUUUUUACUACUAUAAUUUUACUACACGCAAAAAAUGUUUUUUUUUUCAAAUUUAUUAAAAAAUACAUAUACCUAUGUGAGUCUGGGAACAAAAUUUGAGCUCAAACACUGCAAAAGCGCCUAAUGCCCUAUAAAGGGUUUAAAAGACAUACAAAUAUAUUUAUUAUAAUACAUAAUAAAUAGACUCAUAGAACAAGCUGCGAUGAAGGAAGUCCAAAUAUUUAGGUCUGAGUUGGAAAACGAAAAAACUGUAAGACGAGGCAGAAUAUAAUAAUUAUCCAAACCCCAAUAUGAUGCAUCAGGGUAUAAUGUUGGUAGUGAUUCUUGUAAAGAAAUGGAUCUUAUAGUGUGUAUACCAACACUUAGGUACCACGAUCAAUUUCAGAAGUAUACAGAAGUAACAAUAUUUUAACUAGUAUAUUUUAAAUUAUUUUUUCAUAUGGUAUUACUUAAAUAAAGAAAUUUAAAAUAAGUGAUUUCUAUGGCUAAGAUUGUAUAGACAUUUAAUUUUAUAUUUUUAAUAAAUUAGGUUUAACCGCAGAAUCAACAUCACAUUUUGUCGACAAUUGUGACCAAGAUACAAGUCAAAGGACUCUGCAGUCAACUGGAGAACAUUUUGAUAAUAGUUAACAAAACGCCAAGGCAAUAUCUAUUAAUAUAAAACUAUAUAUUUUACUUUUAAAAAAAAUAACUGUAUAUCAAAAAAAAUAUUGAAUUAUUUUUACUACUCAUUUCAAAUACAAGAUUUAAUGCAUUACAAUCAAUCAGACGUAAUUUCGAUUCAGAUUUAUCAAAUUAUCAAGAAUCUAGUAAUCCUAGUAAUGGUGUGCUCACAUUUACAGAAUUUUGAAUUCAACAAAUAUGUUCUUGAAUAGAUUGGACAAAAUGUUAGAUGUGCUUUUAGAACAUACAAAACAUUCUCUUAGCGCACUAUAUGUCCCAUUAGAUGAUUUUGUUUUAAAUAUGUUUCUAUUAAAAGAUAUUGCAGCCAUAAGAGAUAUUGAGAAAAACUUACAAAAUUAUGAAUAUUAACUCAAAAUAACUCAUUUUAUACAUUCAGUUGGUGGAAUAAGUUGAAAAAACUUUAUCAAAAGAGUACUUUUAAGAUUAUUUACAAAUAAAUUGUCUUCUGUAUGUUCUUGGACAGGGUUCAAGAAUAAUUUUUGUUUAGAUAAUCUUUAAAUUAUGAAGACAGUAAAACAAAUUGCUGAUGAUAAUUAUCAAAUGAAUGACAGCAAUUUUGAGUGUCGCAUAAAAGAUUGAUUCCGUCAUGGAAGCCAACGUUUGGCACGCGAAGAAAGCAGCAAUCAGUGAAAUAUGAAUUCACUGACAUAUUUUGUAAAGUAAGAUUAAGUAAAAAAACUGAACCAUCACAUUUAAUGUUGAGGAGACAUUAUAACAGAACGGUUUCAAGGAUGUAUCAAAAGGAAGGUUCCUCAAUUAAUUUGCCACAACAAUUUCAAUUGCUAAUACAGCAUGUCAGCAUCUUCAGUGAAAUUUUCCUGUACCAAAGAAUUGCCAUCAUCAAAUAAAACAUUACAAAAUUAAUAAUUAUAAUUUAGAUUUAGAAGUUAUAACCAUGGAAGUGGACAUUUUUACUAAUCAUAAUAAUACUUGUAGUAAUAAUCAUAAUGUCAAUAAUUUAU